rnacentral:rRNA from 1 species
AUUGAACGCUGGCGGCAUGCCUUACACAUGCAGGUCGAACGGCAGCACGGGUGCUUGCACCUGGUGGCGAGUGGCGAACGGGUGAGUAAUACAUCGGAACGUACCUUAUCGUGGGGGAUAACGCAGCGAAAGCUGUGCUAAUACCGCAUACGCCCUGAGGGGGAAAGCGGGGGAUCGCAAGACCUCGCGCGAUUAGAGCGGCCGAUGCCUGAUUAGCUAGUUGGUGGGGUAAAAGCCCACCAAGGCGACGAUCAGUAGCUGGUCUGAGAGGACGAUCAGCCACACUGGGACUGAGACACGGCCCAGACUCCUACGGGAGGCAGCAGUGGGGAAUUUUGGACAAUGGGGGCAACCCUGAUCCAGCAAUGCCGCGUGAGUGAUGAAGGCCUUCGGGUUGUAAAGCUCUUUUGUCAGGGAAGAAACACCGGCUCUAACACAGUCCGGGAAUGACGGUACCUGAAGAAUAAGCACCGGCUAACUACGUGCCAGCAGCCGCCGUAA